UGUGUUGUGUGGGGUGUGGGGGUUGGCGGUGAUGCGAGGCCCACGAAGAAGGAUAGGUUCGAUCCUGAUCCCACCCCGCCGAGACUCCAGUUCUGGAAUUAGGGUUUGUCUUUUGGGGUGGGUCUUCCGCCCCUUGAUCUAGGGUUUGGCUGCUUCCCCGCGCUUCGGUUUGAGGUUCGUUGAUUGGAUCGAGAAUCGAUGGUUCGCACUAAAGGAGGGAUGCGAAACCAGCCAAACUGGGGAAAUAAUUCAAGGCUACGUAUGAGCUGGAAGGUGAGGAAACGAAACGGCCGGCCGCCGCUUCCGAUGUUAUAGCAGUACCUCCCCCCUCACUCUUCUGUCGAUGUAUCCGGCAGCGACGUCGGAGCCCCCCACCGACCCCACCCCUCUCUAAUUCAUUCUUAGAGGAACAGUAGGAAGCAGUAAAGUAGCACUUUAACAAACCUCGACUAGAGAUGCAUGCAGCAGUCCAACCCGAUGGACAUUCACCAAAAUAUCAGAACAACCCUACAAGCACACAACACUUCAAAUCUAGUUCAGACUGUACGCUAAAUAGUUAUACUUCAUCUUUUCAGUCUAAGGGAAAGAAGAGCAACGAUCUUGCUGCUUUUGCUACCACCCUUGCCGCUCACCACCAGCCAAGCAAUUCCCACAAUUGCUCUUGACGUCGCCAUCUCCACCGUCAUCUUCUGCCGUAGAUUGAAUCAAUCUACUGUCGUCAUCUCCAAUUGCAUCGAGAUCUGGUAUUCUCGUAUCACCAAUACCUUUUGCUGCUAUAAUUUUUCAUUCAAAAUACCAAGAAGAAGUCUUUUUAUCUAUCC